UGGUGGAAGGGCCGGCACUGGGGUAAAAUGCAGCGCUGGAGCCGGGUGUACUGCUCCUUGGCCAAGAGGGGCCAUUUCAGUCGACUACCUCAUGGCCUACGAGGAGUUUCUGAAGUGCCCCUAAGAACUUACGCAGAUCAACCAAUUGAGGCUGAUGUAACAGUGAUAGGUUCUGGCCCUGGAGGAUAUGUUGCUGCCGUUAAAGCUGCCCAGUUAGCCUUUAAGACAGUUUACUUUGAGACAAAUGAAACUCUGGGUGGAACAUGCUUGAAUGUUGGCUGCAUUCCUUCCAAGGCUUUAUUGAAUAACUCAUUAUUACCAUUUGGCCCAUGGAAAAGAUUUUGCAUCUAGGGGAAUUGAAAUAUCAGAAGUUUGCUUGAAUUUAGAAAAGAUGAUGGAGCAGAAGAGGUCUGCAGUAAAAGCAUUAACAGGUGGAAUUGCCCACUUAUUCAAACAAAAUAAGGUUGUUCACGUUAAUGGAUUUGGGAAGAUAACUGGCAGAAACCAGGUGACGGCUACAAAAGCAGGUGGCAGCACUCAGGCUAUUGGUACCAAAAACAUUCUUAUAGCUACGGGUUCAGAAGUAACUCCUUUUCCUGGAAUCAUGAUUGAUGAAGAUACAAUAGUGUCAUCUACAGGAGCUUUAUCUUUAAAAAAAGUUCCAGAAAAGUUGGUUGUUAUUGGUGCAGGAGUAAUUGGUAUAGAAUUGGGUUCAGUGUGGCAAAGACUUGGUGCAGAUGUGAUGGCAGUUGACUUUUUGGGUCAUGUAGGUGGAAUUGGAAUUGACAUGGAGAUAUCAAAAAAUUUUCAACACAUACUUCAAAAGCAAGGGUCUAAAUUUAAACUGAAUAUCAAAGUUACUGGUGCCACCAAGAAGUCAGAUGGGAAAAUUGAUGUAUGUAUUGAAGCUGCUUCUGGUGGCAAAGCUGAAGUUAUCACUUCUGAUGUUCUCUUGGUUUGCAUUGGUCAACGACCCUUUACUCAGAAUUUGGGACUAGAAGAGCAUGGAAUUGAGCUAGAUCCCAGAGGUGGAAUUCCAGUCAAUACCAGAUUCCAAACUAAAAUUCCAAAUAUCUAUGCUAUAGGGGAUGUGAUUGCUGGUCCAGUGCUGGCUCACAAAGCAGAAGAUGAAGGUAUCAUCUGUGUUGCAGGAAUGGCUGGUGGUGCUGUGCACAUUGACUAUAAUUGUGUGCCAUCGGUGAUUUACACACACCCUGAGGUUGCUUGGGUUGGCAAAUCAGAACAGUUGAAAGAAGAGGGUAUUGAGUACAAAGUUGGGAAAUUCCCAUUUGCAGCAAACAGCAGAGCUAAAACAAAUUCUGAUACAGAUGGCAUGGUGAAGAUUCUUGGACAGAAAUCAACAGACAGAGCACUGGGAGCACACAUUCUAGGACCAGACGCUGGAAAAAUGGUAAAUGAAGCUGCUCUGGCUUUGGAAUGUAGAGCGUCCUGUGAAGACAUAGCUAGAGUCUGCCACGCACAUCCGACUUUAUCAGAAGCUUUUAGAGAAGCAAACCUGGCUGCAUCGUUUGGCAAAGCAAUCAACUUUUAAAUUAGAAGAAGGUUUUUUUUUUUCUGAAAUCUGGAAUCUUUUGUAGAGGUCACAUUUUUG